GUGCCGAAAGGAACUCCGAUUACCUCAAAGAUUCUCUGCCUUACUUGGGCAGAUCUCCUCUUGCCAGAGAAAAACAUGGAAUGGGUUUGUCUAGAAGAUUUGAGUUCAGGUCAAACAAGACUAAGUUUGGCACGACUGGGAGAAGAUCCUGCAAUCUAGGGGUUUAAAAUCAUGUCCGAUGAUAGGGAGAGGUCCAAAGGAAAGAAGAAACGAAGAAAGAGGAAAAAGAAAGAAACAUUACAAAGUGUUACUGAAGACGACCUUGCUAUUCUAUAUUACAGGGAAAUACCCAGCUAUGGGGAAAGGUCUAAGGUCAAGAAGAGAAAAAGAAGACUAAAACUGGAAGGAGAACAAGAAAAAGAAACAUUUUGAAACAGAAUUUAUCAAAAUGUUUUGUCAGCACGUGAUUGGGCUAUAGGCAUCACGUGACCAAAACUGCGAUGACUGAUGAUAUUAACAUUUAAAGUAAACGUUUGGAAAUGGUCCAUUAGUGGAGAGUUUUCAAAAUUUGUUUGAAAAAAAACUGAAAAUCAAAUGAUACUGCCGUAAUUUGUUCUACGUAAAUAAACGAAA